GGCGGACGGGUGAGUAACGCGUAAGAACUUGCCCUUUAGACUGGGAUAACAGAGGGAAACUUCUGAUAAUACUGGAUAAGUUAGUAUAUCGCAUGAUAUGCAAAAUGAAAGCUACGGCACUAAAGGAGAGCUUUGCGUCCUAUUAGCUAGUUGGUAAGGUAAGAGCUUACCAAGGCGAUGAUAGGUAGCCGGCCUGAGAGGGUGGACGGCCACAAGGGGACUGAGAUACGGCCCUUACUCCUACGGGAGGCAGCAGUC
rnacentral:rRNA from 1 species